GCGGCCCGCGGGCCGCCAGUUUGACACCCCUGCAGUAGAGGAUCCAGAAAUAACAACUGCAAGAACCUCUGUGUGAAGUGGAGGACCAGCCAGCUCUGCUUAGCAUCCAGGAGCACGUGACAAGUUCUCCUGGGCAGGAACUGCACUUGCACAUUUUCAGCUCAGGGCAGUUUGGCAAAAUGCAAGCUUGGAGAGGGUGUCUGCAUCUGUCACCCGCCCAGGGCCUCAAGGCCCCGUGUGUGCUGCUGGGAACAAAGAGCUAAGGGGCCCAGACGUGUAACUUCAGGAUGUCACCUGGAAGCCACUGGCAUGCAUGGGACAUCAUUUCAAAACAAAAAGGCCUUCCUUUUGCUGUUCCUGUGGAGAAAGCAACACCCCAAAUAUGUAUGAAAUAUUGUACUAAUCAGGAAAGGUGCAAAAUGGACCUCAAACGAUCCUCCAUUCUACUUCUCCAUCAGCUCUGCCCAGUGCCAGGGGCUCACCCAGGGGCAUCUCCAGAGCCCAGGGGCUCUUUGAGCAACUGCAGUCUCGGGAAUCUUCUACAUACAUGAUUACAUCCUUGAAGAUGGCUCAUCAACACGUUAAAAGCACUUCCUCCCACACCUGCAGAAUAGAGCACCAUGAGAUAAAACUAAACCCCAGUGCCAUCUGCAGCAGACUACAAUCCAAACUCCAACGUCAGCAUAUAAACCGAGUCCUCAGAAUAUGGUACAAGCCAUUCACUCUCCACCACUGGAGGUGGGCAGGCAAGAGGACCAGGGCAGAAAACGCAGAGGGAAGAGGGGAAGAAGGAUACAAAGAACACAAAUCCAGGGUUUAGCGUCUUUGUGGAGCCCGUCAACUGGUCAACCCAGACCCUUCAUCCCGAUUCUAGUGGAAGUGGGCUCUCCAGUCAUUUAUUUCACAUACUCUUUAACUGGGAUCGAUCACCCCAGACUUGAACAGAACUCUCUAGUUCUCAACCUCCUGGAGGAGUCAGCCUGGAUCUCUUGCUUCAGGCUUGCAAAUGGGAACAACCAGCCCUCUUCCUUGGAUAUUUUCCUCCUUGGCAGCCAAUGAUGCUACGCUCCUAGCAAGGCUUCUCAGCCCCAGUCCUUUUGCCGGCUCAUGGCUCGGUUCCUCCUGGCUUUGGCCAAGAAUGUUUCCUGGCAUGCUGACAAGGGCACUCUGCCAGUUUAAACCCUUGUUCCAAGUCUCCGUGAGUGGCUGUGUGAGC